rnacentral:rRNA from 1 species
AGUGAACGCUGGCGGUAGGCCUAACACAUGCAAGUCGAACGGCAGCACAGUAAGAGCUUGCUCUUACGGGUGGCGAGUGGCGGACGGGUGAGGAAUACAUCGGAAUCUACUUUUUCGUGGGGGAUAACGUAGGGAAACUUACUCUAAUACCGCAUACGACCUACGGGUGAAAGCAGGGGAUCUUCGCACCUUGCGCGAUUGAAUGAGCCGAUGUCGGAUUAGCUAGUUGGCGGGGUAAAGGCCCACCAAGGGGACGAUCCGUAGCUGGUCUGAGAGGAGGAUCAGCCACACUGGAACGUAGACACGGUCCAGACUCCUACGAGAGGCAGCAGAGGGGAAUAUUAGACAAUGGGCGCAAGCCUGACCCAGCCAUACCGCGUGGGUGACGAAGGCCUUGGGGGUGUAAAGCCCUUUUGUUGGGAAAGAAAAGCAGCAGGUUAAUACCCCGCUGUUCUGACGGUACCCAAAGAAUAAGCACCGGCUAACUACGUG